AUUGUGUUCAAAUCGGGAAAGGAACUCAAUAUUAUCUUUAUAGCCAUACGUGUUAAUUCUAUAAUGCUGUUUUUACGGCAUGCUAAAGCCAUAAAAGAAAUUGUGUUUCGUUAAGGUCACUAUGUUACUUUAUAACUGGAAAGUUAAAUUCUCAGAGAAGAAUGAGCUUUAAAUAAGCCAUUGAGAUUAGAUUAAUGCAAUCUGGAUUUCAAUAGGUAACUUAAUUGAAGUACCAUACAGAUAGAAAUAAGAAUAAUUUCACGCUUGGCAUAAUUAUUCAGAUUUCUAGUCACAGCACACCUCUUCCCUGAUGCUGCCACCUGAGCGCUAAGGGGGACUACAGAGUAUUUCGAAUCUGGAAUCCAGAUCCUUUGGGUUUUCUCCUGGAAAAGACUGCGGUUGAUGUUUUAUCAAAUACUUCUAGUUCUGUGGUAUGGAAAGUUUGGGUUACCUGAAAUCCAGCAUGAAAAUGGAAGCUAGCGCAGUUCACAGUGCUGUGUUUCAUUUCUUGGUGGCUUAAUUUAAAGGGUAAGCAGUUUGCCAACUCAGACUUAUCCAUCUCUUUCAGAAUCUCACUGAAUUAAUGCGUUCAUUUGAUGCUCAAGUGUAACAUUUCAUGAAAAUUGUGAAUUGAGUCUUUGGUUGUUUGUUUUUUUUUCCGAGUUACAAAUAUUUACUGUUAAUUCUGUUGAAGAAUGAGGAACACAGACUAUGAAGGGUCUACAAAAUACAUUUUUUCUAGUCAAAUGGUGGUUUUUUUGCUGUCUGUUAAUCUUAUAGCUAAAGAAAAGCAAUUUAUUCUAACAAAUUAUUCAAGAUGGAGCCCACAGGAAUAGUUGAGAUGCUGUUGCUGUACAUUAUGACAUUAUACGGGGAAAGUAAUGUGAUUUACAUGCUGCUUGGGCAACUGCUAGAUAAAAAUAUUGCAGUUUUAUACCAACUCAUGCACCGUUUGGGUAUUCUGGUAGCCUCCUGGUAUGAAAUGAAAA